CUUGAUAAUAGCAGUAACUCCUCUGGCUGUAGGUAGCAGGUCCACAAUUGAUCUCAAGUAAGAAGAAUGAAGACAUCCAUUGGAGCAUUCCUCAUGUUCUUUUGGCUGCAGCUGGACUGUGUCAGCCGAGGAGAGAAAGUGGAUCAGCAUGCUUCUACCCUGAGUGUCCAGGAGGGAAACACCUCUGUCAUCACCUGUUCUUAUUCAGACAGUGCCUCACAAUACUUUCCGUGGUAUAAGCAAGAAGCUGGAAAAGGUCCUCAGCUCAUUAUACACAUUCGUUCAAAUGAGAAUGAAAAGCAGCAAGAAAAACUCACUGUUUUAUUGAAUAAGACAGCCAGGCAUUUCUCCCUGCACAUCAAAAACACCCAGCCUGGAGACUCAGCUGUGUACUUCUGUGCAGCAAGUACACAUUGCCUCCCAAGCACCUGAAUCCUGUACACAAACCUGUCUCUUAGUGGAAAUUACUGUGUUGUAUGUUGAAAACACUUAAUAGAAAGGUUAGUUUCAAGGUGACCAACAAAGUGUUAGAACAUUUUGUUGAAAAAACUGCUGCAUAAU